rnacentral:misc_RNA from 1 species
GAAAGAGGGUGAAAACCCGAGAGGGCGCCUUCUGCAAAAUGAGUGAAGGAUGAAAACUCGAGAGAGCAUCCUGAAAAAGUGAGUUAUCGGGAUUGAAAACCUCAAAGGAUGCGCCUAGCAACAUGAAGCCUUAUUGAGAAUGUAAAACGGAGUCAAAAGGUAGCAAGGGACCAUGGCACAAGGAUUCUUCUCAGACUAUUAGUAUUUGGGGCAAUAAAGGGUCUAGAAAAGUUAAUAAAGGAAUUCGUGAGAUUUCUCUUUCUUCCAAAUUCAUAUCCUUAUUCUUUGUUAUUAAAAACCAUAUUUUUCUCAUAUUCCAUCAGCCCAUUUACCUUGGAACAUGCGCUGUUAACUUGUUAAUGCUUUAUUAUGAGUUAAGAAUUUAAACACAGGUAACUUUAUAUACAUUGCAUUGAGAAUUAUAGGGAAUGACUAAGCAGUGAACACACAACCUAUUGAUAUGGGAAGUUGGGACUUGAACAAAAAAGAAGAAGAAGAAGAAGA